GAUGAACGCUGGCGGCAUGCCUAAGACAUGCAAGUCGAACGAGGUGGCCCAAUGAAAACGGAGUGCUUGCACAAAGUUGGAUUUGGUUUACCACCUAGUGGCAGACGGGUGAGUAACACGUGGGUGACCUACCUCUAAGCUGGGGAUAACAAUUGGAAACGAUUGCUAAUACCGAAUAAGGUAUAAUUUUCAGGAUUAUAUUGAAAGGAGCCUUUAAAGCUUCACUUAGAGAUGGGCCUGCGGCGUAUUAACUAGUUGGUGAGGUAAUGGCCCACCAAGGUGACGAUGCGUAGCCGGACUGAGAGGUUGAACGGCCACACUGGGACUGAGACACGGCCCAG
rnacentral:rRNA from 1 species